rnacentral:lncRNA from 1 species
UUUCUCUUGGAGCUUCAAUGGAGAUUAGGAGCUGCUCUCAAGUAUUCUCUGUAGUCAACAAGUCUAUUCUAACCAUUUUGGUCAAGUCAAAGUUCGAAUCGAACUUUCCUACGUGAUCGUAAUACUGAAGGUAGUGGAGCUUGAUAUUAGGCUGGAAAUGGUUCGGCUAAAGAAAAAGCUUUGAAAUGUGCGACUCCACAGCUUAAAGGCCUAUGAUGUCCUAAGCUAGUUUUAAUUCUGAUCCUACCUUGUGGGAUUUAUAUCGAACAGUUUGUGUAAUU